rnacentral:rRNA from 1 species
GCGCUGGCAACCAGACUUGCGCGCGGCGGUUCCCCCUUCCUUUUGGUUGGGCUACUCCGUCGUGUCCAGGCCAACAUCGGUUCUGGGGGUCGGUUAAAGACCCUGGGAAUGUACCUACCCUUCGGGCGUAGACUUAUAGCUCAGGGUGUCAUGCGACCUCCCGGGACCGAGGAACGCGCUUCGGCUCGGAUGUUGGCGUAAUGGUUGUCAGCGACCCGUCUUGAAACACGGACCAAGGAGUC